rnacentral:rRNA from 1 species
GACGAACGCUGGCGGCGUGCUUAACACAUGCAAGUCGAACGGAAAGGCCCUGCUUUUGUGGGGUGCUCGAGUGGCGAACGGGUGAGUCACACGUGAGUAACCUGCCCUUGACUUUGGGCUAAAUUCAGGAAACUGGGGCUAAUACCGGAUAGGCGCUCCUGCUGCAUGGUGGGGGUUGGAAAGUUUCGGUGGUUGGGGAUGGACUCGCGGCUUAUCAGCUUGUUGGUGGGGUAGUGGCUUACCAAGGCGUUGACGGGUAGCCGGCCUGAGUGGGUGACCGGCCACAUGGGGACGGAGAUACGGCCCGGACUCCUACGGGAGGAAGCAGGGGGGAUUAUGGCACAAUGGGCGGAGGCCUGAGGAAGCAACGCCGCGUGCGGGAGAACGGCCUUCGGUUGGUAAACCGCUUUCGCCUGGAACGAAGCGUGAGUGACGGUAAUUGGUAAAGAAGCACCGGCUAACUACGUG